rnacentral:rRNA from 1 species
ACUAAACAGCUAGCCCACCUACCUUAGGUAAUACUACAAUAAAAAUAUCUUUUUAGACCUCACGUAUAAACAACAAACCAUUUUUCCCCCUUAGUAUAGGCGAUAGAAAAGGAAUACUUUGGAGCGAUAGAAAAAGUACCGCAAGGGAAAGCUGAAAGAGAAAUGAAAAAACUUUCUAAAGUUAAAAAAAGCAGAGCUUACCCCUUGUACCUUUUGCAUCAUGAUUAAGCCAGUAACCUGAAGCAAAGAGCCCUUUAGAUUUUUACCCCGAAACUAGACGAGCUACUCCGAGACAACCUAUUUUAGGGUAAACCCGUCUCUGUGGCAAAAGAGUGGGAUGAGCUCCGAGUAGAGGUGACAAACCUACCGAGCCUAGUUAUAGCUGGUUUCCUGGGAAAUGGAUUUAAGUUCAGCCCCUCCCCCUUCCUACCCGUUCUUCUAUGUAAAACCCCUAGGAAACCAACGAGGGAGUUAAUCAAACAAGGUACAGCUUCUUUGAUUGAAGAUACAACUUUUUUAGGUGGCUAAAGAUCAUACUAAAAUCUAAAGGAAAAUUGUUUAGGUGGGCCUAAAAGCAGCCACCCCUAAAGAAAGCGUUAAAGCUCACACAAAUCCUUACUUACCCUCUUAUUUUUGUAUAAAUAUCUUACCCCCCUUUUUUCUACCAGGCCGUUUCAUGCCCUCAUGAAAAAGACCAUGCUUAAAUGAGUAAUAAGAGAAUAAAAUUUUCUCCCCACACAUGUGUAAGUCGAAACGGACCCCCCAUCGACAAUUAACGACCCCAACCAAAGAGGGCAUUGAGUAAUAACUCAGAUAACAAGAAAACUACUCAUCCACUUUAUCGUUAACCCCACACAGGAGUGCCCCAAGGAAAGACUGAAAGGUUAAGGAAGGAACUCGGCAAACACAAGCCUCGCCUGUUUACCAAAAACAUCGCCUCUUGACUCCCUAAAAAUAAGAGGUCCCGCCUGCCCAGUGACUUUAUAGAUAAACGGCCGCGGUAUUCUAACCGUGCAAAGGUAGCGCAAUCACUUGCCCCUUAAAUAGGGGCCCGUAUGAAUGGCAUCACGAGGGCUUAACUGUCUCCCCCGCCUAGUCAAUGAAAUUGAUCUCCCCGUGCAGAAGCGGGGCUAAAACCAUAAGACGAGAAGACCCUAUGGAGCUUUAGACACUUAACGGCCCAUUAAAGCAAUUCAGUAUAAAGAAUAAAAGCCUUAUGACCCCCGUUUUUAUGUCUUUGGUUGGGGCGACCCUGGGGUAAAAAACAACCCCCAUGAGGACUGGGGCAUCUCCCUCCUCCCCCAAGCUUAUACCCACCGCUCUAAGCAUCAGAACCUCUGACCUAUAAAUGACCCGGCUUACCCGCCGAUCAACGGACCGAGUUACCCUAGGGAUAACAGCGCAAUCCUCUCCCAGAGCCCCUAUCGACGAGAGGGUUUACGACCUCGAUGUUGGAUCAGGACAUCCUAAUGGUGCAACCGCUAUUAAGGGUUCGUUUGUUCAACGAUUAAAGUCCUACGUGAUCUGAGUUCAGACCGGAGUAAUCCAGGUCAGUUUCUAUCUAUGGAAAUGACCUUCCCUAGUACGAAAGGACCGGGAAAACGAGGCCCAUGUUAACAACAUGCCUCUCCCUCACCUGAAGAAAACAACUAAAACAGGUAAGAGGGCAUAUCCAAAAACUGCCAAAGAAAAUGGCAA